AGCGCCCACCUCUCCCCGCGCACGUGUUCCGAGGCCCCGCCCCCGCUCCCGCCCCCGCCGCAGGUGUCCGGGGAGAGGCGGGCCGGGAGGGCGCGCUCGCGGGACCGGGGCCCGGGCGUCCCCGCCGCGCCGCGCGGUCCUCGCCGAGGCAGAGGCGGUGGCGGCAGCAGGUGGAGCGGGUUCCCGGUCCGGCCCGGGGCUCCGGGGAGGUCGGGUCGCCGCGCGGGGCACCGGCCCCUCCGCGCCCUCCCCCCCCACCCCCCAGACCUGUGCUCCCGGAAGGGAGUCGCCGGCUGCUCCGGGGUCCGCGGGGGGUGGGGAGCUCGCCGGGCGGCGCGGGCGGGGCCCCGGUGGCGCGCCCGCCUCCCCCUCCAGCUCGCGCGCGGGAAGCGGCGGCUCUUCCCCGGGACUCCGGGCGCUCCUCGCGCGGCCCUCGCCGGCUUUGCCUCGGGGGCCCUCUAGCCUUGUCGUCCGCUGGAGUUCUCCACCGACCGCUUUCCUCCAUUUGGGGACACUUCCCGCCGGCGACGCCCGAGCGCCCCCUGAGGGUCCGGCCGCCGGAGCUGCGGGGUCCCGGCCCUGCUCGCCGCCCCCGACCCUCGAGGCUCUCCCGCCGGCCUGCCUCCUCCCAGCCUCCGGCCUCGACGCGGGGGUGCGGACCUGGUCCCGUCUGCGCCCCCCAACACCCCCGGAAGGAGUGCGGUCCUCCGAGGCCCCGCCGCCGGCCAUGGCCUUCACUUUCGCCGCUUUCUGCUACAUGCUGUCCCUGGUGCUGUGCGCCGCGCUCAUCUUCUUCGCCAUCUGGCACAUAAUUGCCUUCGAUGAGUUAAAGACAGAUUUUAAGAGCCCCAUAGACCAGUGCAACCCUGUUCACGCGAGGGAACGGCUGAGGAACAUUGAACGCAUCUGCUUCCUCCUGAGAAAGCUGGUGCUGCCCGAAUACUCCAUCCACAGCCUCUUCUGUAUCAUGUUCCUGUGUGCGCAGGAGUGGCUCACCCUGGGGCUGAACGUCCCCCUGCUUUUCUAUCACUUCUGGAGGUACUUUCACUGUCCGGCAGACAGUUCCGAGCUGGCCUACGACCCGCCCGCGGUCAUGAACGCAGACACCCUGAGUUACUGUCAGAAGGAGGCCUGGUGCAAGCUGGCGUUCUACCUGCUGUCCUUCUUCUAUUACCUCUACUGGGUUCCCUCCACAGCUCAGCCAUUCGGGCCUAGCCUUGUGGCCCCUAGUCCACAUGUAAGCAUCCGGGGAACCAGAAUGGAGACUCUGCGUGGCAGUCACGCUCCCAGAAGGGGCACGCUGGGUCAUUACAUGCGCGUGCUCACAAUUCUCCUGAUGGUCUGUAACCUCGUGCUAAUCAGAAACAGGAGGGCCAGGGAGAUACCCCGUAAGAGAUCACGUAGUUUGUGUGCCCCUCGGACCUCGGAAGAGUGAUGAUGGUCAUUGUGGUGGUGAUGGUGAGAUGUGAUGCGGCAUAAUCUGGGAGCCCCGGACGCAGCCAUCACGUCAGCACGAGGCAGCUGCUGGGAAAGAAUCCGCUGCACCCCUACCCCGGGGACCGCCUUACGGUCUCAGGAAAGGGGACAGCCACCAUCAUAGCCGUGCGGCAUGAUCUACACUCUAGUGAGCUCUUAACCCGGGCCGCACAGGUCAUCAGAGACGGGGACGGGAGAGGCUCGAGGCGGAGUCCUCACGACUGGCUGGCGGUUGGAGAAGGGGUGCGUGAGAGACACCUGCGGACGGCGGAUUCCUGCGGCAGCAGGGACCGAGGUCACGGAGCGUGGGGGUCGCUGCCCAGCCCGCACCCAGGUGGCGAUCCCGUCUGGGCCACGGGACCUCUCCUGAGCAAGGACUGUUGCUGCCUGAGUGACCCCCCGCCCCUCUGAGCACCCCGUGCGGUCCACAGUGAGCCCGGGACCGCGGCGGGUGGGUGGGGGGGCGCGGCUGGCAGGCCACAAACUGCCUGCCCAGGAACAGAAUGACCCAGGACCUGCUGAGGCCUCCAGGGUGUCGCGGGCUACCCGAGCCCUCUGUGUGUCCUCGGAGCCCAGCCGCGCCCUGCGCUUCGUGGGAGGGUCUGCGGGGGUGCGGAUUCGCCAUUGGCUCCCACCGGCCCCGGGCCCGCGGUUGGCCUAUUUUCGCACUCUGCUUUGUGGGAGUCGGCCUGGCGACACUGGGAGCUGGGGCUCGGGCUGCUGGCCAUGAGUUAUGUCCAAAGUCACAGGGGAGGUGGGAAUCGGAGGGAAGAAUGAUUUUUUAAAACAUUUUCACGUUCAAAGUGUUCUUUGCCACCACAAACUGUGUUCUCCCGCUGUCGGUCCAAAACCGUCGCAGAAUCAACGAAGGCAAAUCGACUGGUCGACGUCGUCAACGCCUGUCUUCUCUUAAGGACCCCAAACAGCGGCGCCCGGGAAACGCCCUGCACCUGCUCUGUGCUGUGUGCAUCGGGCGGCCAGGAGGCGAGACGGCGCAAUUACAGCCUCCUUUUGUGAUGCUAUGUCAUUCGUUCUGUUAGUGCCACUCGAGGACUUUGGCUUAUUUAGAAUUUUCCCUCUGACGUCCUCUCCUGUUUGGGUAGGAGGUGUCCUUGGGGUUGUAAAUAAUGACAAGGCUGAGGUUUUUAUGUUUAAAUUGGGCACGAUGAUUUCUACCUUAUUCCCCACACUUCCCUCUCUUCUGUGUGACACACACACAGGCUAUUUAUAUACGUGCGCGGCUCCCGUUGGAACCGGUGACUCAG